rnacentral:piRNA from 1 species
UGGAAAGCUGAGAGAGAAAGCCAAGCUUUU